UACGUAGGGUGCGAGCGUUGUCCGGAAUUAUUGGGCGUAAAGAGCUCGCAGGCGGUCUGUCGCGUCGGUCGUGAAAACUUGGGGCUUAACCCUGAGCUUGCGGUCGAUACGGGCAUGACUGGAGUUCGGCAGGGGAGACUGGAAUUCCUGGUGUAGCGGUGAAAUGCGCAGAUAUCAGGAGGAACACCGGUGGCGAAGGCGGGUCUCUGGGCCGAUACUGACGCUGAGGAGCGAAAGCGUGGGGAGCGAACAGG
rnacentral:rRNA from 1 species